AUUGUCAUUGUUAUAUUAUAUUAUGUCAUAUUAGCAUGCUGACGUUAGAAUUUAGUUCAAAGCACUGUUGUGCCUAAGACCUAGCAUGGCUCUAGCAGGGCUUGUCUAAACAGUGAAAGUCAACACAGUAAAAAUGUAACAACACUCAAAAAGUUAAGUGGGUUAAACUGACAUAGAUAUCAUGCUUGGACACUAGCUCCUCUGUUUUAUAGGUUGUUCUGUUAAGCUGGUGAGGGGGAGACGGCAUGAGGGGGCUUUUUCAAUGUAAACUCAAGAAGCCGGUGUUUAUUUCUUCACUGUGAAGUGGUCCAAGGCACAUCUUUAAUGUCAGUAUUCUAUCCCAGUGAUGUCCCUGUAUCCCUGUUAACUGGUCUUCGGCAGCUGGUCGGACAUGUCAUCCACCCCGGUCAUUUGAGAACUGACAUCCAAAACUUCAGGCGAGGGUCAGGAGGAUAGAAACACACCGAUGCCAUCUACCUCCCGCUUGGUGAAAUAAAUCCUAUUUGAAACCAUCCCUAAGGAGCCCUUCACAAUAAAAUACAGGUUAGAUGUCCCUCAGGUUAACUGAUCGGUAUUGCCUGCUCGAGAAGAUGCACCAUUCCACUGCCACUUUUUUCAAAUCUAACUCAAUGCCUUUUAAAAUUCAAAUAAAUAGCUUCUACUUAUGCAGAGGAACUAUACAUAAACGUAAACAUCAUAUAUCAUGUCCCUAUUUCUUUGAUAGUUGCUGUUUCCCAUAGCAACAAAAACUAGAUCCGAUGACUACCUUACAAAGAGAGACAGAAUAUGAUGGACGGACUGGAUAUGAUAUGAAUGGAAACGUCCUCCAGCCACAAAAUAAAUAUUUAUUGCUGCAAGCCACACUUUGCUGCUCCAAGGUGUGAAAUUCAGUGUAAUACUCCUUACCAUUAACUGUCUGAAGCGGCUAAUAAUUUCACUGUUCAAUGCAUCUUUAUGAAUGGAUAGUUCUUGCAAAUCCAUAUUACCUCUCCGUCGGCCUCCCGAACGACUCUGCUCGCCUCCAGCCCGGCCUCUCCGCCAGCCUCCCGAGUGGCCAGUGGCGGUUUUAGACCAAUAUCACUAGGGGGGCCUGGCCAGGACCAAGUGUUUUGUCAGAGGGGCACAUUCAACCCAAGCUACAUUCAACCCGGGACAAAAGAGACGAAGCAGUGUUCAAGCAUUAAAUAUUUUUAGUUACAGGAAGUAUAAAUAAUAGCGCACAACAAAAACAAUACCAUGAUUGGUAGGUUACAGUAACAGUAUUCCAGUUACAGACAUUUCUUUCAGUAUGCUACAUUUAUAAUUUUCUUAUAUUACAAUACUGAAAAUGAAAAUAAUAUAAAAAAUAUUGUUGACUUUAGCUCAACUUUAUAAAUAUUAUUUCAUCUGCCAUGAUGCUGAAGACUUCACUGUUUUUCACUUCUUCUGUAAUUUCAGUUCGAACCAUGUCUGCCAAACAAUCCAGAACUUCAUUCUGAAUGAUUUUGCUUGUGUACUUUGCAUUAUGACAGGAGGUCAACCUUUCUUUAACAGCUUUGUCGUGGUCAGCAAUUGUCUCUAAAAUUGCCUUGAACUUCCCUUUAUUAUCCGAGUCUGCAGACUCAUUGUGACCUCUUUGAGCCAUGUUUUGUGUGGCAGUUAG